GACGAACGCUGGCGGCGUGCCUAAUACAUGCAAGUAGAACGCACAGUUUAUACCGUAGCUUGCUACACCAUAGACUGUGAGUUGCGAACGGGUGAGUAACGCGUAGGUAACCUGCCUGGUAGCGGGGGAUAACUAUUGGAAACGAUAGCUAGUACCGCAUAAUAUUAAUUAUUGCAUGAUAAUUAAUUGAAAGGUGCAAUUGCACCACUACCAGAUGGACCUGCGUUGUAUUAGCUAGUAGGUGAGGUAACGGCUCACCUAGGCGACGAUACAUAGCCGACCUGAGAGGGUGAUCGGCCACACUGGGACUGAGACACGGCCCAGACUCCUACGGGAGGCAGCAGUAGGGAAUCUUCGGCAAUGGACGAAAGUCUGACCGAGCAACGCCGCGUGAGUGAAGAAGGUUUUCGGAUCGUAAAGCUCUGCUGUAAGAGAAGAACGGGUGUGAGAGUGGAAAGUUCACACUGUGACGGUAUCUUACCAGAAAGGGACGGCUAACUACGUG
rnacentral:rRNA from 1 species